GAAUCGUAUAACCGUAGUUAUAGGUUAGAAUUUAGAAUAUCAUUUUAUAAUAAAGGCCAUUGUCAUUUAAGGCAAGAACGAACAAAAUGGUUAAAACUCGGCUGAAGUUCAAAGUAUACGACUUUUUAUAUCAAGGCUUUACCGCUGCUUCUAUAACUAUUUCUGGAUUAUGUUUAAUUGCAAUAGGAUUCAACUUAAAUCAAAUUAUAUUUAAUAAUAAGCCAUUGUUUCAUGCAGAAAGCGAAGAAUCUAAGAUCGAACUUUUAAGAGAAGGUAGAAUAUCGUUGGAUGAAAAGAAAAAUAAUGCUCAAAAUGAUUAGUGUAUAUUGUAGAUUUUAGAUAGUAAUAUCAUUUUGUACAAUUUAUAAUACAUAAAGAUUUAUUGCUUAAAUGAA